AUUGAACGCUGGCGGCAGGCCUAACACAUGCAAGUCGAACGGUAACAGGAAGCAGCUUGCUGCUUCGCUGACGAGUGGCGGACGGGUGAGUAAUGUCUGGGAAACUGCCUGAUGGAGGGGGAUAACUACUGGAAACGGUAGCUAAUACCGCAUAACGUCGCAAGACCAAAGAGGGGGACCUUAGGGCCUCUUGCCAUCGGAUGUGCCCAGAUGGGAUUAGCUAGUAGGUGGGGUAACGGCUCACCUAGGCGACGAUCCCUAGCUGGUCUGAGAGGAUGACCAGCCACACUGGAACUGAGACACGGUCCAGACUCCUACGGGAGGCAGCAGUGGGGAAUAUUGCACAAUGGGCGCAAGCCUGAUGCAGCCAUGCCGCGUGUAUGAAGAAGGCCUUCGGGUUGUAAAGUACUUUCAGCGGGGAGGAAGGGAGUAAAGUUAAUACCUCUGCUCAUUGGCGUUACCCGCAGAAGAAGCACCGGCUAACUCCGUG
rnacentral:rRNA from 1 species